GGAGGAAUGGGUGAGUGGCUGAAACCAGGCGUUUGCUAAAUGUCCAAAGGUAGCAAUAUCUUUCGAGAGUUCGAAUCUCUCUUCCUCCGCCA
rnacentral:tRNA from 1 species